rnacentral:tRNA from 1 species
GAGGGUAUAGCUCAAGUGGUAGAGAGCAUGCUUAGCAUGCACGAGGUCCUGGGUUCAAUCCCCAGCACCUCCU